rnacentral:rRNA from 1 species
GACAGAGGUGCCGAGCGUUAGGCGGAAUCACUGGGCUUAAAGCGUGUGUAGGCGGGUCGUUAAGUGUCUUGUGAAAUCCCACCGCUCAACGGUGGAACUGCUGGGCAUACUGGCGAUCUUGAGCCACCUAGGGGCAGACGGAACAAGCGGUGGAGCGGUGAAAUGCGUAGAUAUCGCUUGGAACGCUGACGGUGAAAACAGUCUGCUGGGGGUGUGCUGACGCUGAGACACGAAAGCCAGGGGAGCGAACGGG